CCUACGGGCGGCUGCAGUGGGGAAUAUUGGACAAUGGGGGGAACCCUGAUCCAGCCAUGCCGCGUGUGUGAAGAAGGCCCUCGGGUUGUAAAGCACUUUCAGUGAGGAAGAACGCCUGGUGGUUAAUACCCAUCAGGAAAGACAUCACUCACAGAAGAAGCACCGGCUAACUCCGUGCCAGCAGCCGCGGUAAUACGGAGGGUGCGAGCGUUAAUCGGAAUUACUGGGCGUAAAGCGCGCGUAGGUGGCUUGAUAAGCCGGUUGUGAAAGCCCCGGGCUCAACCUGGGAACGGCAUCCGGAACUGUCAAGCUAGAGUGCAGGAGAGGAAGGUAGAAUUCCCGGUGUAGCGGUGAAAUGCGUAGAGAUCGGGAGGAAUACCAGUGGCGAAGGCGGCCUUCUGGACUGACACUGACACUGCGGUGCGAAAGCGUGGGUAGCAAACAGGAUUAGAUACCCUAGUAGUC
rnacentral:rRNA from 1 species